rnacentral:rRNA from 1 species
GAUUAAGUUAUUAAGGGCGCACGGUGGAUGCCUUGGCACUAGAAGCCGAUGAAGGACGUUACUAACGACGAUAUGCUUUGGGGAGCUGUAAGUAAGCUUUGAUCCAGAGAUUUCCGAAUGGGGAAACCCAGCAUGAGUUAUGUCAUGUUAUCGAUAUGUGAAUACAUAGCAUAUCAGAAGGCACACCCGGAGAACUGAAACAUCUUAGUACCCGGAGGAAGAGAAAGAAAAUUCGAUUCCCUUAGUAGCGGCGAGCGAAACGGGAAGAGCCCAAACCAACAAGCUUGCUUGUUGGGGUUGUAGGACACUCUAUACGGAGUUACAAAGGACGACAUUAGACGAAUCAUCUGGAAAGAUGAAUCAAAGAAGGUAAUAAUCCUGUAGUCGAAAAUGUUGUCUCUCUUGAGUGGAUCCUGAGUAUGACGGAGCACGUGAAAUUCCGUCGGAAUCUGGGAGGACCAUCUCCUAAGGCUAAAUACUCUCUAGUGACCGAUAGUGAACCAGUACCGUGAGGGAAAGGUGAAAAGCACCCCGGAAGGGGAGUGAAAUAGAACCUGAAACCGUGUGCUUACAAGUAGUCAGAGCCCGUUAAUGGGUGAUGGCGUGCCUUUUGUAGAAUGAACCGGCGAGUUACGAUUUGAUGCAAGGUUAAGCAGUAAAUGUGGAGCCGUAGCGAAAGCGAGUCUGAAUAGGGCGUUUAGUAUUUGGUCGUAGACCCGAAACCAGGUGAUCUACCCUUGGUCAGGUUGAAGUUCAGGUAACACUGAAUGGAGGACCGAACCGACUUACGUUGAAAAGUGAGCGGAUGAACUGAGGGUAGCGGAGAAAUUCCAAUCGAACCUGGAGAUAGCUGGUUCUCUCCGAAAUAGCUUUAGGGCUAGCCUCAAGUGAUGAUUAUUGGAGGUAGAGCACUGUUUGGACGAGGGGCCCCUCUCGGGUUACCGAAUUCAGACAAACUCCGAAUGCCAAUUAAUUUAACUUGGGAGUCAGAACAUGGGUGAUAAGGUCCGUGUUCGAAAGGGAAACAGCCCAGACCACCAGCUAAGGUCCCAAAAUAUAUGUUAAGUGGAAAAGGAUGUGGCGUUGCCCAGACAACUAGGAUGUUGGCUUAGAAGCAGCCAUCAUUUAAAGAGUGCGUAAUAGCUCACUAGUCGAGUGACACUGCGCCGAAAAUGUACCGGGGCUAAACAUAUUACCGAAGCUGUGGAUUGUCCUUUGGACAAUGGUAGGAGAGCGUUCUAAGGGCGUUGAAGCAUGAUCGUAAGGACAUGUGGAGCGCUUAGAAGUGAGAAUGCCGGUGUGAGUAGCGAAAGACGGGUGAGAAUCCCGUCCACCGAUUGACUAAGGUUUCCAGAGGAAGGCUCGUCCGCUCUGGGUUAGUCGGGUCCUAAGCUGAGGCCGACAGGCGUAGGCGAUGGAUAACAGGUUGAUAUUCCUGUACCACCUAUAAUCGUUUUAAUCGAUGGGGGGACGCAGUAGGAUAGGCGAAGCGUGCGAUUGGAUUGCACGUCUAAGCAGUAAGGCUGAGUAUUAGGCAAAUCCGGUACUCGUUAAGGCUGAGCUGUGAUGGGGAGAAGACAUUGUGUCUUCGAGUCGUUGAUUUCACACUGCCGAGAAAAGCCUCUAGAUAGAAAAUAGGUGCCCGUACCGCAAACCGACACAGGUAGUCAAGAUGAGAAUUCUAAGGUGAGCGAGCGAACUCUCGUUAAGGAACUCGGCAAAAUGACCCCGUAACUUCGGGAGAAGGGGUGCUCUUUAGGGUUAACGCCCAGAAGAGCCGCAGUGAAUAGGCCCAAGCGACUGUUUAUCAAAAACACAGGUCUCUGCUAAACCGUAAGGUGAUGUAUAGGGGCUGACGCCUGCCCGGUGCUGGAAGGUUAAGAGGAGUGGUUAGCUUCUGCGAAGCUACGAAUCGAAGCCCCAGUAAACGGCGGCCGUAACUAUAACGGUCCUAAGGUAGCGAAAUUCCUUGUCGGGUAAGUUCCGACCCGCACGAAAGGCGUAACGAUUUGGGCACUGUCUCAACGAGAGACUCGGUGAAAUCAUAGUACCUGUGAAGAUGCAGGUUACCCGCGACAGGACGGAAAGACCCCGUGGAGCUUUACUGUAGCCUGAUAUUGAAAUUCGGCACAGCUUGUACAGGAUAGGUAGGAGCCUUUGAAACGUGAGCGCUAGCUUACGUGGAGGCGCUGGUGGGAUACUACCUUAGCUGUGUUGGCUUUCUAACCCGCACCACUUAUCGUGGUGGGAGACAGUGUCAGGCGGGCAGUUUGACUGGGGCGGUCGCCUCCUAAAAGGUAACGGAGGCGCUCAAAGGUUCCCUCAGAAUGGUUGGAAAUCAUUCAUAGAGUGUAAAGGCAUAAGGGAGCUUGACUGCGAGACCUACAAGUCGAGCAGGGUCGAAAGACGGACUUAGUGAUCCGGUGGUUCCGCAUGGAAGGGCCAUCGCUCAACGGAUAAAAGCUACCCCGGGGAUAACAGGCUUAUCUCCCCCAAGAGUUCACAUCGACGGGGAGGUUUGGCACCUCGAUGUCGGCUCAUCGCAUCCUGGGGCUGUAGUCGGUCCCAAGGGUUGGGCUGUUCGCCCAUUAAAGCGGUACGCGAGCUGGGUUCAGAACGUCGUGAGACAGUUCGGUCCCUAUCCGUCGUGGGCGUAGGAAAUUUGAGAGGAGCUGUCCUUAGUACGAGAGGACCGGGAUGGACAUACCUCUGGUGUACCAGUUGUCGUGCCAACGGCAUAGCUGGGUAGCUAUGUGUGGACGGGAUAAGUGCUGAAAGCAUCUAAGCAUGAAGCCCCCCUCAAGAUGAGAUUUCCCAACUUCGGUUAUAAGAUCCCUCAAAGAUGAUGAGGUUAAUAGGUUCGAGGUGGAAGCAUGGUGACAUGUGGAGCUGACGAAUACUAAUCGAUCGAAGACUUAAUCAA